rnacentral:ribozyme from 1 species
AAUUCUGGUUGGAUGAUAUCAAAGAGGUGGCACACCGCGCUGUGCAAAAUCGUUACACCGCGAGGCUAUUUGAUGCCGACGACGCUGAGGCUCUGUUAUGUCGAAUGAUGCUCAUGCCGAUGAGCAAGAAAUAUCACGAGAGAUGUUUUUCUGAGCACGACGACAUGAUGACCUAUUAUAAGAUACUCAUGGAAACAUGCGACAGGACCCAC